UACGUAGGGUGCAAGCGUUAAUCGGAAUUACUGGGCGUAAAGCGUGCGCAGGCGGUUGUGCAAGACCGAUGUGAAAUCCCCGGGCUUAACCUGGGAAUGGCAUUGGUGACUGUACGGCUAGAGUGUGUCAGAGGGGGGGUAGAAUUCCACGUGUAGCAGUGAAAUGCGUAGAGAUGUGGAGGAAUACCGAUGGCGAAGGCAGCCCCCUGGGAUAACACUGACGCUCAUGCACGAAAGCGUGGGGAGCAAACAGG
rnacentral:rRNA from 1 species